UCGGGUGGAUAUCAGCCAGCGCCGCGCCGACUAUCAGUAUUAGCUCGGCCAUCCUCGGGCGCACUCGACUCGCGAGCGCGAGUGCGAGGGCGAGUGAGACCGCGAGAGCCGCCGCGGGACGAGAUAGAGAGAGACGGACCGAGGGAACGCGCUCCGAUGUCGGCUCGUUAAAGCUCUCGCGCGACCAACCUGCCUCCGAAGUACCGGCGCCGGAAUAAGCCGAAAUUUUUGGUCUUAUCGCGAAGACAGAGAGGGGAGGAAUUACAGGGAGGAACGUGUCGCGCACAGAGAUGUACACCGCAUCAGCCA
rnacentral:misc_RNA from 1 species